UACGUAGGGUGCGAGCGUUGUCCGGAAUUAUUGGGCGUAAAGAGCUUGUAGGCGGUUUGUCGCGUCUGCCCGUGAAAUUUCGGGGCUCAACCCCGAACUUGCGGUGAGUACGGGCAGACUAGAGUGUGGUAGGGGAGACUGGAAUUCCUGGUGUAGCGGUGAAAUGCGCAGAUAUCAGGAGGAACACCGAUGGCGAAGGCAGGUCUCUGGGCCACUACUGACGCUGAGAAGCGAAAGCAUGGGGAGCGAACAGG
rnacentral:rRNA from 1 species